rnacentral:rRNA from 1 species
GAUGAACGCUGGCGGCGUGCCUAAUACAUGCAAGUCGAGCGAACGGACGAGAAGCUUGCUUCUCUGAUGUUAGCGGCGGACGGGUGAGUAACACGUGGAUAACCUACCUAUAAGACUGGGAUAACUUCGGGAAACCGGAGCUAAUACCGGAUGAUAUUUUGAACCGCAUGGUUCAAAAGUGAAAGACGGUCUUGCUGUCACUUAUAGAUGGAUCCGCGCUGCAUUAGCUAGUUGGUAUGGUAACGGCUUACCAAGGCAACGAUGCAUAGCCGACCUGAGAGGGUGAUCGGCCACACUGGAACUGAGACACGGUCCAGACUCCUACGGGAGGCAGCAGUAGGGAAUCUUCCGCAAAGGGCGAAAGCCUGACGGAGCAACGCCGCGUGAGUGAUGAAGGUCUUCGGAUCGUAAAACUCUGUUAUUAGGGAAGAACAUAUGUGUAAGUAACUGUGCACAUCUUGACGGUACCUAAUCAGAAAGCCACGGCUAACUACGUG